GGCGGGGCGUAAGCGCUAAAGCAACAAGACAAUAGAAGCCUACAUCUUGCCCGAGAUAAUUAGCUUACAUGCUGAUGACAAGUUUCAGAGUCUGGCUAUACAGAACAAGUUGAAAAAUACUCCUUCAUCUUCAGUUUUCCAGAAGAAUUUGUGAAGAACUUGUAUGUCAUCCUCAAAUGCUUGAAUGUUUGGUAGACAUCACCAGUGAAGUCAUCUGGCCUGAACUUCCUUUGUGGAAAGAUUAUAUAUGUGUAUUAUGAAAACAGAUAUUUGAAUUACCUAUUUCUUCCUGAAUGAUCUUUGUUUGGUAGUUUGUCUUUCAGUGAAUGUAUCCAUUUCAUAUAAGUUGCUUAAGUAAAAUUAUUCAUAUAAGCUA